GUUGAGAACAAAGGAGGACUUCAUGUUUUGUCUUAUGGUGUUGAAAAAAUGACCCAUGGUCAGUCUGAAGGCCGAUCCACUGUUUGCACCCAUUUAUCAGCUGUCACAGCAUCUAACUUCAUAUUGAGUAGCCCCCGGCUUUUCAAAACGCAAAAUAGAUUCUGGGCGUGCCUCAUGCGGUCCAUGUAUAUGACAGUCGCAAUAAGAAAACCAAAAACCCAUGGGCUUCCUGCUCUUCAGGUCGGGGUGUGCAAUCAGGUAUAAAAAUCAGAAUAUAGGACUGAUUUCCUGGGAGAGAAGUGCCAACCCAUAGUAACUGAGGAAUGAUGUAAAGGUCUCCUCUCCUAGAUCAUUGGCUGCCGGAGGUCAAUGCUCAAGUGUUGCUAGUCUUUCCAUUUCUGGUGUCUAUCACAGGGACUGUGGACACAUAUUAUAAGUAAAGACUUCAGGGAGUAUAGAUGGCAGUCACUUGCCUUUGGGCCAGGCCAGAGAACACUGUGAGGUACAUGGAUGCCCAUGCCAUUCAAGAAAGGAGAUUCCAUUACCAACAUCAAUC